GCUUGCUUCCCGCCAAAGAAGUGAGAAGAGAGAAGAAAGAUGCUGAAAAGGGCUUCUAUGGACAAUAUGUGAACACUAAGCCCUGUGCAGAACUUCCACAGUCAUUUCUGUUGGACACAACGUCAAGAACAUCUUAAAGAUAAAGGCACUCUGAAGCUUGGAAAGAGAACAGAAGUUUAUCAUAAGCAUUUCCUAUAUUUAGAGGAGCUCUCUUCUGGAAUGUCGGAGGUUUUAAGAAGCACCUAAAAGUAUAUUCAACCAGACAAGUCAAAACUAUGGUCCAAGAAUAAAGCAUUUGCUGCAGGACUGUGGGAGGAACACAUCAAGAAACAAAACUAUACACGUGCCAAGCUAUUCACUCCUAUUCUUUCACCAAGACAAGAAAGAG